rnacentral:lncRNA from 1 species
GCCUGUCCCAAGUCAGGAGCCUCUGGCCUUUGUUAUUCUUGUAUUAUUUUUAAUUUUAGUUUCUUGUGUAUAAUUUGGAGUUUAGUAUGGCGUUCAUUAUCACUGAACUAGUAUAUAUAAUUAUUUAGGGGACAGCUGAAUGACGCCUCCGGGUGCGGGAAUUUCUCGCUGCAUUGAAGACCUAUUGGUGACCUUCUGCUGUUGUCUGUUCUAUAGUCGGGUUGUUGUCUCUUUAACACAUUCCCCAUUUCCAUUCUCAAUUUUAUGAG